CGCGGCCUAUCAGCUUGUUGGUGGGGUAACGGCCUACCAAGGCGACGACGGGUAGCCGGCCUGAGAGGGCGACCGGCCACACUGGGACUGAGACACGGCCCAGACUCCUGCGGGAGGCAGCAGUGGGGAAUAUUGCGCAAUGGGCGAAAGCCUGACGCAGCGACGCCGCGUGGGGGAUGACGGUCUUCGGAUUGUAAACCCCUUUCAGUAGGGACGAAGCGCAAGUGACGGUACCUGCAGAAGAAGCACCGGCUAACUACAUGCCAGCAGCCGCGGUAAUACGUAGGGUGCGAGCGUUGUCCGGAAUUAUUGGGCGUAAAGAGCUCGUAGGUGGCUUGUCACGUCGGGUGUGAAAGCUUGGGGCUUAACUCCAGGUCUGCAUUCGAUACGGGCUGGCUAGAGGUAGGUAGGGGAGAACGGAAUUCCUGGUGUAGCGGUGAAAUGCGCAGAUAUCAGGAGGAACACCGGUGGCGAAGGCGGUUCUCUGGGCCUUACCUGACGCUGAGGAGCGAAAGCGUGGGGAGCGAACAGGAUUAGAUACCCUGGUAGUCCACGCUGUAAACGGUGGGCGCUAGGUGUGGGGUCCUUCCACGGACUCCGUGCCGUAGCUAACGCAUUAAGCGCCCCGCCUGGGGAGUACGG
rnacentral:rRNA from 1 species